UACAGAGGGUGCAAGCGUUGUUCGGAAUUAUUGGGCGUAAAGGGCGCGUAGGCGGUGCGGUAAGUCUGCGGUGAAAUCUCCCGGCUCAACUGGGAGGCUGCCGUGGAAACUGCCGUGCUUGAGUGUGGGAGAGGUGAGUGGAAUCCCCGGUGUAGUGGUGAAAUGCGUAGAGAUCGGGGGGAACACCCGUGGCGAAGGCGGCCAGCUGGGCCGUCCCUGACACUGAGGCGCGAAGGCGUGGGGAGCGAACGGG
rnacentral:rRNA from 1 species